UUUUUUUCCGGGUUCCAAAUGGAGGAUUCAUCACAACAGUAUCAACAAUGUGACCUAAAUGUGAGAUUGAAUGAGAUGAAGACAUGAAUUCAAAGGCAAAUGGCUUGUGAACAAAUGUAAUACUAACAAAUUAAUUCAGAACUUUUUUACUUUCUUUUACCAUCCAACAGAUAAACUAUACAUCAAAUAUGGUGAAUAAAACAUUUAAAAAUAAAAAUUUGUU
rnacentral:misc_RNA from 1 species